rnacentral:rRNA from 1 species
CCCUUAGAUGUCCUGGGCCGCACGCGCGUUACACUGAUGCAUUCAACGAGCUUAUAACCUUGGCCGAGAGGCCUGGGCAAUCUUGUUAACGUGCAUCGUGAUAGGGAUAGAUUAUUGAAAUUAUUAAUCUUGAACGAGGAAUUCCUAGUAAACGCAGAUCAUCAAUCUGCAUUGAUUACGUCCCUACCCUUUGUACACACCGCCCGUCGCACCUACCGAUUGGAUGGUCCGGUGAAGCCUCGGGAUUGUGGUUCUUGCCGCUUUAUUGUGGCGUGACCGCGAGAACUUGUCUAAACCUUAUCAUCUAGAGGAAGGUGAAGUCGUAACA